GCAGCAUCUCAGCCUUUUGGCUAAGAUCAAGCUUUUUUAGCACUGAGGAGAGGGUGUCAGGGCUAGCUUUGGCCCUUGCUGUGCUGGCCUGGUAUUGCAGUACCUCCAGGCCUGGUGCCAGUUCA
rnacentral:snRNA from 1 species